UAGUGACCGAUAGCGCAUAGUACUGUGAAGGAAAGGUGAAAAGAACCCCGGGAGGGGAGUGAAAGAGAACCUGAAACCCUGUGUUUACAAGCUGUGGACCAUGUGUCUAUGGAUUCACCCAUCUUUACGAACCGCUUCGCCCUUAUCCCGCCAGCUGCGUCGUCAGCUUUCUCGGCGUAGAAGACUACGCCUGCGAGAGCUUCCUAGCAGCAAACGCGAUAAGAACGAAUCGGAUCGCAAGAAUGGGCGAAUCCAUAGCCAUGAACCGCGUACUUUUUGUAGAACGGUCCGGCGAGUUACGCUUACUGGCAAGGUUAAGCACUAAAGGUGCGGAGCCGAAGGGAAACCAAGUCUGAAUAGGGCAAUGUCAACUACGUUGACAAUUAAAGUCAGUAAGAGUAGACCCGAAACCGGGUGAUCUAUCCAUGUCCAGGUUGAAGUUGCCGUAAAAGGCAAUGGAGGACCGAACGCACAUCCGUUGAAAAGGGUGGCGAUGAGGUGUGGAUAGGGGAGAAAUUCCAAUCGAACCCGGAGAUAGCUGGUUCUCCUCGAAAUAGCUUUAGGGCUAGCCUCAUAAUAAUCUCACGGAGGUAGAGCACUGAAUAUCCUAGGGGGCGUCAAAGCUUACCGAAGAUUAUCAAACUCCGAAUGCCGUAGAGAUGAUUUAUGGGAGUCAGACUGUACGAGAUAAGUUGGACAGUCGAAAGGGAAAGAGCCCAGACCACCGGCUAAGGUCCCCAAGUGCAUGUUAAGUGGAAAAGGAUGUGGGAUUUCGAAGACAGCUAGGAUGUUGGCUCAGAAGCAGCCACACAUUCAAAGAGUGCGUAAUAGCUCACUAGUCGAGAGGUCCUGCGCCGAAAAUGUCCGGGGCUAAAACAUGCCACCGAAGCUGUGGAAUCAUGCGAAGCAUGAUUGGUAGAGGAGCAUUCUUAUAAGGACGAAGCAGUACCGAUAAGGAGCUGUGGACAAAUAAGAAGAGAGAAUGCCGGAAUGAGUAGCGAGAUGAAAGUGAGAAUCUUUCAGGCCGAAUAUCUAAGGUUUCCAGAGUAAAGCUGAUCUGCUCUGGGUAAGUCGGGACCUAAGGCGAGGGCGAGAGCCGUAGUCGAUGGACAACAGGUGGAGAUUCCUGUACUUUGGUAGAACAGAACUGUAGGGACGCAUGUGGAAAGUGAGAGCCGGAAAUGGAAAAGCCGGUACAAGCGAGGUAGGAGAGUAAAAGGCAAAUCCGUUAUUCAAUCCGAAGACGUUAAGUGGAUCGAAAUAAAGUAGAGAAGCUCAUGAGCCAUGUGCCAAGAAAAGCUGCUAUUGUUUUUAUCAAACCCGUACCGUAAACCGACACAGGUGGAUGAGGAGAGAAUCCUAAGGCCGACGGGAGAAGCAUUGUUAAGGAACUCGGCAAAAUGACCCCGUAACUUCGGGAGAAGGGGUGCCAGGGCAACCUGGCCGCAGAGAAAAGGCUCAAGCAACUGUUUAGCAAAAACACAGGUCUAUGCAAAACCGCAAGGUGAAGUAUAUGGGCUGACGCCUGCCCGGUGCUGGAAGGUUAAGAGGAGAUGUUAACGCAAGUGAAGCAUUGAAUUUAAGCCCCAGUAAACGGCGGCCGUAACUAUAACGGUCCUAAGGUAGCGAAAUUCCUUGUCGGGUAAGUUCCGACCCGCACGAAAGGCGUAAUGAUUU
rnacentral:rRNA from 1 species